AACGAACGUUAGCGGCGCGCUUAACACAUGCAAGUCGCACGAGAAAGGGCUUCGGCCCCGGUAAAGUGGCGCACGGGUGAGUAACACGUGGGUAAUCCUCCCUAUGGCGGGGGAUAACCUUCCGAAAGGAGGGCUAAUACCGCAUAAGACCACGGACUCGAAAGAGUCUGCGGUUAAAGCCGGCCUCUAUACAUAAGCUGGCACCAGAGGAUGAGCCCGCGGCCCAUCAGGUAGUUGGUAGGGAAUGGCCUACCAAGCCUAAGACGGGUAGCUGGUCUGAGAGGAUGAUCAGCCACACUGGAACUGAGACACGGUCCAGACUCCUACGGGAGGCAGCAGUGGGGAAUCUUGCGCAAUGGGCGAAAGCCUGACGCAGCGACGCCGCGUGGGUGAUGAAGGCC
rnacentral:rRNA from 1 species